UAAAUCCUUGUCGAGGGCUGGUACUGUGAUUGGUUUUUCCCCUGUGAGGAACACAGCAUGUGGCCAAUCAUAUUUUAGAAAAGAGAAAAAAUUCAACAGCUGACUUCAAAGUUCUGCUU